rnacentral:rRNA from 1 species
CCCUUAGAGUUUGAUCCUGGCUCAGGAUGAACGCCGGCGGUGUGCCUAAUACAUGCAAGUCGAGCGCACUGGCCCAACUAAUAUGACGUGCUUGCACUGAAUUGACGUUGGAUUCCCAGUGAGCGGCGGACGGGUGAGUAACACGUGGGCAACCUGCCCUGAAGCGGGGGAUAACAUCUGGAAACAGGUGCUAAUACCGCAUAACAACGAAAACCACAUGGUUUUCGUUUCAAAGAUGGCUUCGGCUAUCACUUCAGGAUGGGCCCGCGGUGCAUUAGCUAGUUGGUAAGGUAACGGCUUACCAAGGCGAUGAUGCAUAGCCGAGUUGAGAGACUGAUCGGCCACAAUGGAACUGAGACACGGUCCAUACUCCUACGGGAGGCAGCAGUAGGGAAUCUUCCACAAUGGGCGCAAGCCUGAUGGAGCAACACCGCGUGAGUGAAGAAGGGUUUCGGCUCGUAAAGCUCUGUUGUUGGAGAAGAACGUGCGUGAGAGUAAC